rnacentral:rRNA from 1 species
GAUGAACGCUGGCGGCGUGCCUAAUACAUGCCAGUCGAGCGAACAGACGAGGAGCUUGCUCCUCUGACGUUAGCGGCGGACGGGUGAGUAACACGUGGAUAACCUACCUAUAAGACUGGGAUAACUUCGGGAAACCGGAGCUAAUACCGGAUAAUAUAUUGAACCGCAUGGUUCAAUAGUGAAGGACGGUUUUGCUGUCACUUAUAGAUGGAUCCGCGCCGCAUUAGCUAGUUGGUAAGGUAACGGCUUACCAAGGCAACGAUGCGUAGCCGACCUGAGAGGGUGAUCGGCCACACUGGAACUGAGACACGGUCCAGACUCCUACGGGAGGCAGCAGUAGGGAAUCUUCCGCAAUGGGCGAAAGCCUGACGGAGCAACGCCGCGUGAGUGAUGAAGGUCUUCGGAUCGUAAAACUCUGUUAUUAGGGAAGAACAAAUGUGUAAGUAACUAUGCACGCCUUGACGGUACCUAAUCAGAAAGCCACGGCUAACUACGUG